rnacentral:misc_RNA from 1 species
GGAAUCUUCCGCAAUGGACGAAAGUCUGACGGAGCAACGCCGCGUGAGUGAUGAAGGUUUUCGGAUCGUAAAGCUCUGUUGUUAGGGAAGAACAAGUACCGUUCGAAUAGGGCGGUACCUUGACGGUACCUAACCAGAAAGCCACGGCUAACUACGUGCCAGCAGCCGCGGUAAUACGUAGGUGGCAAGCGUUGUCCGGAAUUAUUGGGCGUAAAGGGCUCGCAGGCGGUUUCUUAAGUCUGAUGUGAAAGCCCCCGGCUCAACCGGGGAGGGUCAUUGGAAACUGGGGAACUUGAGUGCAGAAGAGGAGAGUGGAAUUCCACGUGUAGCGGUGAAAUGCGUAGAGAUGUGGAGGAACACCAGUGGCGAAGGCGACUCUCUGGUCUGUAACUGACGCUGAGGAGCGAAAGCGUGGGGAGCGAACAGGA